rnacentral:rRNA from 1 species
GACGAACGCUGGCGGCGUGCUUAACACAUGCAAGUCGAACGGAAAGGCCCUGCUUUUGUGGGGUACUCGAGUGGCGAACGGGUGAGUAACACGUGAGUAACCUGCCCUUGACUUUGGGAUAACUUCAGGAAACUGGGGCUAAUACCGGAUCGGAGCUCCUGCUGCAUGGUGGGGGUUGGAAAGUUUCGGCGGUUGGGGAUGGACUCGCGGCUUAUCAGCUUGUUGGUGGGGUAGUGGCUUACCAAGGCUUUGACGGGUAGCCGGCCUGAGAGGGUGACCGGCCACAUUGGGAUUGGGAUACGGCCCAGACUCCUACGGGAGGCAGCAGUGGGGAAUAUUGCACAAUGGGCGGAAGCCUGAUGCAGCAACGCCGCGUGCGGGAUGACGGCCUUCGGGUUGUAAACCGCUUUCGCCUGUGACGAAGCGUGAGUGACGGUAAUGGGUAAAGAAGCACCGGCUAACUACGUG